GGUAGCGGUGAUGCUGGAAAUUGUCCGUACCAUUCGAGACGAACGUCUUCUCUCCUGAUCAACGCUUCAUCAUCUCUAGCUUUUCUGAGGCCU